GCAAACAACACGAUGCCAAAAGAAGAAACCUACAUGCAGCAACCAAACGGAGAAUGAUUGCACAGCAAACAACACGUGAGCAGAAGAUGUGGCUGCAGCUAAAGUUAUUAAAGAAGAACAACUGGCAAUAAACAAAAUAAAACAAAGAGCUUGUAGGCAUGUGAAGAUUGGCAGCAGUACAGAAGAAAGAGAAAAGCAAGAGCAUUGGCUCCGUUCGCUCUCUAUAAAUAGGGAACUCAAUAAGAGGAUGGGGAAAAGACGAGUGUGCAUAUUUUGGUGAAGACUUGGGCACCAAAUAGAGUUAGAGUUAGAGACCCUGGGGAUCCGAGAGGCAAGGAUCCAGGGGCAUCUACUAUUCUAGUUUUCCUUUUAAUUUCUCAAUUGUUGUAAUAAAAUUAUUUUGCUAAAUUUUCCUUUAUAAAUUUUUUUUUCUUAGUUGUAUUUUAUUUUUCAUUGUCA
rnacentral:lncRNA from 1 species